rnacentral:lncRNA from 1 species
AAGAUAUAAUAGAUUUUAUAUCAUACAAGUGAAAAAUCAUAUUAAGAUAACUUUCAAUAUACAGUAGCUAAUGUUUACUAAACACUUUAAUGCUGUAGUUUUUAAGUUACAAUUGUCCAAUCUCAAUUCCAAACAGACCCGAAAUCAAUGAUAUCGAAUUGGCUACACAACUUUCUGCUCUUGAUCUCAAUGUGCACGGAAAAAAGCAUGGAGAAGUUGCUAACCAAUCACUUUUUUUUUUUUUUGCUAAUUAAUAUUUUUAUUAGCUAAUGAAAACAUCAGCUAAUCAAUUAAUCAUUAUAUAUAUACAUGCAGUUGCAGAAUGAAGAUGAAGAACUUGCUAGAGCUAUCAAAGAAAGCCUCAAAAUCAUCUUAAAAUUCAAAAGGCAGUGAUUCAUCGGAAAAUUAAGUUAAAUUUUUUGAUAAAUUGAAGAAUUUUUCACAAUUAAUUAUUAACUAAAAGUUAAUUUUACAUGAAAUUUUUGAAUAAAUGACUUCACAUUAAUUGAUUGUUCCACUCCUUGGUUCACGUCUAGAAGCUCUAGUACAAUAGAUUGUGAUGUUUGCAAUAAGGAGGUAAGUAUAUAUAUAUAACAUGUUAAAUGCAAGGGAAAAUGACACCAAUACUCUCAAAUUUUAAAAAUAGAUACAUCAAUGAUCAAUCCUCUCAAAUUUGAUCCACAAUAGUUGACGCCGCGCAUGGUGCUUGUCCAUUCUCAUUUUGUGAAACUGAUCAUGCCACCAUGCAAACUUUAAAAAAUUUAAUAUGUUGGAUAUUCCGAACAAAUGAAAAGUACUUAACUGUAACACCCCAAAUCUAACACGUGCUGAGCACGUGAAGAAGGAGGUUACUAACAAAUCAUAAUCUUUACUCAUAAAUUUCAAACUGAAAUACCCCCAAUUCUUAUUCAAAAAAAAAAUCCACAAAUUCACAAGUCUAAUACUAAAUAAUCUCUCCCGAGGACAUAAAAAUAAUAACAAAAGUCUCAAACUCCAAAUUACACGUUCAUAAUAGAAAUAACUAAAUAGAAACACGAGUCUAUUCCUCCUCUUAUUCAAAUGGCAAACGGAAACGGAAAAUUACUACUUCAAAGCUAAGCGCACCUCUCAAAAGAGACUUAAUCUGCAAAAAGUAAUGACGAGGGGUGAGCCGUCAACUCGGUAAGUAAAACCAUUUCUAACACACUAGGCCUAUCAAUACCAAAAAUAUUGCAAGCCUUCUUUUAAUUAAAACAUAUAUUAUAAUCCAUAAUUUUCAUAAAACGAUAUAUCACGAUAAUAUAACAUAAAUUCUUAAUAAUUCAGAAUAUUCAAAAGCAUAUUUACUUACGAAGCAAAUCAUAUAAUACGUAUACAGAAAAUAAAAUGUUAGCUCACGUCACAUAGUGUCACCUAUAGUCCCGGUGACCCGGCCAGAAACAGAAUCAGAAUAUCGUGUGCACACUCAGAACAGAGACCCAGUAUUGGUCCAGACAGAUAUAUCAUAUAUUACGAUCAGAAUCAGAAUCAGAAUAACUAUGGACAAUGGGCCAAAACAUUAGGAAUCUCAUACAAUCAUCAAUAAUUGAAAUCAAACAUGGGUACAAAACAUUCGUAUCAAAUUCAUAAAAGUCCAUAUCAAUAAUUUAGGCUUGCAUAAUAUUUUAAAGAUAAAAUCAUAAAAAGUUGUCAUGUCAUAAAAUAAUUUACAUAUUAAAAAGCAUUUAUAAAAUACUUUGUUAAAAAGAAUUUAGGUUUGAAAACAUUUACAUAAAACUAAUUUUGUUAUCAAAAUCAAUUAAUCCUUUAAGUAGUAUAAAAACAUUUAUACUUAUAAUAAUAAUAUCAAAAUACUUAUACAUAUCCAGUAUACUAGGAAUGAAGUUACUUACCGAGUUGACGGCUCACCCCUCGUCAUUACUUUUGCAGAUUAAGUCUCUUUUGAGAGGUGCACUUAGCUUUGAAGUAGUAAUUUUCUGUUUCCGUUUGCCAUUUGAAUAAGAGGAGGAAUGAACUCGUGUUUCUAUUUAGUUAUUUCUAUUAUGAACGUGUAAUUUGGAGUUUGAGACUUUUGUUAUUAUUUUUAUGUCCUCGGGAGAGAUUAUUUAGUAUUAGAUGUGUGAAUUUGUGGAUUUUUUUUUUGAAUAAGAAUUGGGGGUAUUUCAGUUUGAAAUUUAUGAGUAAAGAUUAUGAUUUGUUAAUAACCUCCUUCUUCACGUGCUCCGCACGUGUUAGAUUUGGGGUGUUACAAUUGUGGUAUCAGAGCGCUAGGAUAGGAUUAUGUAGACUUUCUUUGAAAGUUUAAUUAGAUUGUCUAAUAGAAUUGAUUUCAUUUGUAUCUUGUGUGUUUGCCCGUUAUGCCGAUGUGCCUAUCACACCACUAGAUGUUCACGUGACAAUUAGUACCCCUAUGGGGGAUUGCCAGUUAAUAGAUCAUGUCUAUAAGUCAUGUGUGAUCAGAUUGUGUGAUAGAGAAUUCCUUGUGGAUCUCCAACCUUUAGAGAUGCACGAUUUUGAUUUGAUUUUGGAGAUGGAUUGGUUAGGACCUUACCAUGUUUCAAUAGAUUAUUUUGCUAAGGAAAUUAUUUUCCGCCUACUUGACGAGGAAUAAUUUCAUUUUCAAGGGAAUCAUAGAAGUCAUAAAGGUUUGAUUUCUAUGGUUAAGGCAAUGAAAAUGCUAAAGAAAGGGUGUGAAGGAUUUUUAGCGUAUAUAGUGAAAUGCAAGUAACGCAACCCAAGAGGGGGGGUGAAUUGGGUUUUUAAAAAUUAUGCAAUACAAUUCGCACAACAAAUCAAUCUAACGCCUUAAUGAAAUAGAAAACAAUAAAUUCAAACAAGCAUAAAAAUAAAAGAGUAAGGGAAGAGAAAAACAAACACACGGAUUUGUACGUGGUUCGGCAAUCCCCGCCUAUGUCCACGCCUCCAAGCCAACCAAGCUCGAUUAUUUCACUAUCCAAGCCUCCCAAGACUUCAAGUUCUUACAAUUGACUUCCAAGGUGUCAAUGAACCUUUACAAUCAAGAGAUUAUCUCCCCAAUCUCUUUACCCCAAGUGUUUCUCACACUUAUACACUCACAAUUUGAUAAGUAAUGAAAAUUAUAACAAAAACUCUCUUUAAGAGUGGAUAUACAAAUAAUAGCUCAACAAUGAUUCAAUCAAUGAUGAUUUACGUUUUGGAAGCUCAAUAUAUGUUAUAUGAUCUUAUAUUUGCUUGUAUUAGUUCUGAGAAUGAAGUUUGAGUUGAGUUUUUAUAGUUAAAGCCCGAAAACUAGCCGUUAUGGGCAAAUUCCCGCGCCCAAGCGGUUAGCCGCUUGAUUUAUCCGGUUAGCCGCUCAGGAACAGUGAUAUUACCGUUAUUUUUGAAUUUACUACAGUAUCACUGUUCACUAAAAUUAUAUUUCGGCCUAAAACUUUCUAUAAUUAUAAUACGGCCCAAAACGUCAUAAAACUUUUUAAAUAGGUCCAAUUUCAGAAAUUCUUAAAAAUAAUUCUUUUACCAAAACUUUAUGCAAUUAUGAUAUGACCCCAAAGAUAUUAUUAUUUCGCAAAAAGGUCUUAUUCAACAAAUAUCCAUAUUUUUCAAAGUUCUCAAAACCUUUCACUUUAGUCUAAAAUAUUCAUAAAUUAUAGUAUGGCCCAAAAAAUUUCAAAUGUUUGUAAAAAUGUCCAACUUCGAAAUUUAAUAAUAAUACUUAUUAAAAUCAAAGAUUUCAAAAACUUAGCAUUUAAGUCCAAAUUACUCAAAUUUACAAAAUACUUUACUUUAUAAAAAUAAAGUCUUUUAGUUUAUGAAAAGUAUUUAAUUAAAUUAAUCUCUUGAGCUUCUCAAAUGCUAAAUCAUGCAUCAAUUAAAUCAUACCAGUUUUACAAGAAUUUAUCGCACUAAUUUGUUCGUUGAGCUCUAAACUAUAUUCUUGAUGUUGCCGUUGUCCGUUGAGUGUCUUCAAUCUUGAUUUCACUUGAUUCAAUUGCAUAAAUAUUAUCCUUAAAAAACUAGUGAAAAUGUGAAAUACAAUAUUUAUUAUUUUUACUUAAGACACAUGUUUGUUAUCAUCAAAAUUACAUUAUGUGUAGCCCUUUAGGCUAACAAUCUCCCCCUUUUUGAUGAUGACAAACAUCUCAUGUAUUUUGACAUUAAACUCCCCCUUAAUACAUGGCAUACAUGACUUCAACUUAUAAAUAAAAUUUAAGAACAAACUCCCCCUAAAUAUAUUAUCUAUAACAAUUUGUAAACUCCCCAUUAAUAUUUCAUAACCGUGCACAAAUACUUUAAGAUCAAAAUACAUAUUAUAUGUCUUCAUAUUCAAAAUACAUGAUCUCUCCCCUUUCAUCAUCAAAAUUACUAGAAAUUAAUGCUAAGACCGAUAAUAUGUUAAUGGAUAAUCGAGAAACAUGAAUAUAUGGCCAAUUAAAAAUUUUAACCAAAAUGAUAUUAUCCAAAACCUUUUCAUAUUUAUCUCCCCCUUUAUAAGAAAAAUAAAAGAUAGAUAUAUGCAAUUUGAAACAAGAUCAUCAAAAAUAAUUCAAUGAAGAUAUUACCCAUUUUGUGCGAGCAAAAAUUUCGGCAGAGUCUCCCCUUAAAAAUAAACAAAUCCUCAAAUACACAACAUGGUUAAAAAUAAAGGUGGCCAAUGGGCCGGGCGGCACGUGGCACGGCACGGGCACGGCACGGCACGAGCACGUUUCGGUAAGGCACGAGGCACGGCACGGCACGCACGUGGGCCGUACCGGGCCUAGAAUUUUAGGCACGCGAGCCUUAAAGCACGGCACGAUUAGAGAUGGGCCAAAGCACGGCACGCGAAAAAGCACGUAAUAAGCACGGUUCAUUAGUGGGCUAGCACGCGGCCCGUGAGCCAUUAAUAGCACGUGGGCCAAAAUAUAUCUAAGUAAAUUUUUUUAACAAAAAGUAAAUAUAAAAUGUUAUGAAAUUAAAUGUUUUAAUAUAUUUUUUAGCAUAGACUUUUAAAAAUUAAUUUAAAUCAUUAAAUCUUAGUUUAAAUAAAUGAUUUGUUAUAUUAAUAUUUCGUAGUUAUGACUUAUUGUAAUGAUUAUUCGAGGAUUGUAUUUUUAAUUUUAAUUAAUUAUUAUUAUGAUCUAUGGAAUUAUUAAAUUUAUGUAUUGUUGUGUUAUGAAUUAUGAUUGAUUAUUGUGAAAUAAAAUAUAUAGUUGUGAAAUUGUGAUAAACUAAUAAUAAAAUGUUAAUUGCUCUCUUAAUAAAAAUUAAUAUGAUUAUGAUUGUGAAUAUUAUUAUUAUUAUUAUUAUUAUUAUUAUUAUUAUUAUUAUUAUUAUUAUUAUUAUUAUUAUUAUUAUUAUUAUGAUUAUGUUGGUGGGCUUAAAAAAGCACGUCAGGCACGUGGGCUUGAAUAAAGCACGCUAGGCAUGUGGGCUUUUUAAAGCACGCUAAAAAAAAGAAAAAGUUGGUGGGCUUUUUUUGGGCACAGCCCACGGCACGGCAUGAGCACAGCACGAGCGGGCUCGUGCCGUGGGCCGUGCCGGGCUCAAUUGAAAAAAAUGUAGGCACGGCACGGCCCAUUGGCCAUAGUUAGUUAAAAAUACUUUCAUAUAAACUUAAACAAUUAUAACAAACCAACAACUCCAUCAAUUCUUCAAGCGACACACAUAUAAUCAUCAAUCAUCAAAUUCAAUAUGAAUUCCCCUAACACUUGAAACAAGUUUAUCCAAGGAUCCCAUAAUCAUAUUCGAAUAAAAUACCUUAACUAAAUUUUCAUAGUAUUGCUCCUUAAUAACUAAAACAUUUUUCCAGCCCAUAGCGAUGAGAAAAUAACUAAGAGAUUUGUCACAAAUUUUUAAAAUUUUCAAAUUACGAAGAUUAACAAAAUAGGGAGCGAUAACCGACCUCGACAUAAAAUUGUCGUGAAGCCGUUUCCAAAGAAGUAGAUGCUGAAAGUGGGUUGAUAUGAACUCCGUAUUAUCUCCAUAAUCGUCCUUGCGUCUCUUGGCAACUUGUUUGCUCUUGGAUUUUUCACCACCCACCAUUGUUGGAACAAAAACAAGCUUAAAGAUCCAAUUUCGGGUUUACAAAAAAUUGAGUGAAAUGGAUUUGUUUGAGCCAAGAAAAUCGAUCCUAGAGAUGAAUGAAGCUAAUAUAUGAUGUAGAUUGGAUAAAAAAUGGGCUAAAGGAAGCUUGAAAAUGAAGAGAGAGAAACGGGUAGAGUAAGGUUUUUUAUUUUGGGUUUUAUGUGGAGAGUUGAUGAAAUAAAGUUUUAAGAACGAAAAUUGAAGGAGUGAUGAAUAAAUAAUGAUUUGGAUGAUUGAUUUUAACAAGAAAAUGAGUAAAAGAUGAAGAAAUUUGAGAGACAAAUGGAGAAGUAUUGUUCACGCGUGAGAGAUGAUGAUGAAAUGAUGAAGAACAAGUGAAGAAAUGAUGAUUGGGAAGUGUUUAAUGAGAGGUUAAAUACAUGGGCAAUGGUUUUAAAGAUUUGAUCUUGCCAUGAAAAAGAGUGAGAAAUGAAGAAAUAUUAAGUGGAAAUGCAGGGGAUAUGUUCGGCUUUGAGAGAGAAUGGAGAGAGGUUGAAGAACACAUGAAAAAGAGGGGGAAAAUCUCUUAAACCCGUGACCAAGCAGCUAACCGCUUGGGGGCAAGCGGCUAGCCGCUUGCUCUCGAGUUUGAGCAGAUUUCAAGCGGCUAGCCGCCUGGUUUCUACUCCUCUGCACCAAUUUGCUGUCCGGCUGAAAUUUGAGCAAUCCGGAGACCAUUUCGUGAUCCCGAAACAUCUCAAGAGCCAAUUGUAACACCCCAAAGAUUAUGAUUUGUUAGUAACCUCCUUCUUCACGUGCUCCGCACGUGUUAGAUUUGUGAUUUUGGGGAUGGAUUGGUUAGGACCUUCCCAUGACGGUUUCUGUGAUUUUUAUAAAAUAAAAUACUAAUCAGAAAAUUAUGAAAUUAAAACUGGGAAUCCUAGACAAAUAUUUUAACCUACAUAUAAACUUUCAGAAUUUUCCGAGUUCAUUUGGUGGUACAAAUAAUCUUGUGAAUCCGAUCGCAAUGCUAGAAUUGCAGUUUUCCAGUGCAGUGGUUUCUAUUUCGUAAAUACAUAUAAAAUUGAAAACGAAGUCGAAUUUAAUGAAAUAAAAUUUUCUCAAGAAGCCCUACAUGUCUAGUUUCCAGAAAUAUAAAUUUUAUAAGAAAACUCGUUCAGAAAAUAUAGGUUUAAAUUCAAGAUACUCACGCUGUCCAGAAUUAUCCUGUGCUUAAUACGUCAAGGAUUGAUUAACUAAACUCAUAAUAAAACAAAACCCUAAACAACACCUAAAUACAUUCUAAAUCAUGCAUUAUGAUCUAUAACCAUCUAGAAUCGUGCCAAUAUAAACCCUAGAUAGAGUGAUUAGAAAUCUGUUGAGAAUAGGGAGAAUAACUUACCCGUCGCUUUGAUUCUCUCCUAAACAAAUGUUUGAAUCCUAGGAUUUGGGUAGGAGUGUAAAGAGCAGUAGAGAAGCAGAAUAAACGUCGUGGACUUAGGGUUAUGGAAGGGGAAAAAGUAUGCAUUUAUAGGGAGUCUUAAGAAACCCUAUUUAAUAAGAAAAAAAUAACCCUUUUUCAAAACUAUCUCAUAAAUAACCUCUAUUUAUAAUUUAGUAUCCCUUUCUUAAUAAGGGUUAUAGGCCACCCAUAAUUAUCAAUAAAAGCCCAAUUUCCAUAAUUUAAUAUUAUGGAAAUUUGUGGCGUUACAAUUUUUUGUGGCGUUACAAUUUCUCCCCUCCUAACAAAAAUUUCAUCCUUGAAAUUAAAAGGUUACCUUACGCAUGGAAGAGUUAAGGAUACUUCUCCAACAUUUCUGUUUCUCGCUCCCAUGUGGCUUCCGCAAUAGAAAGAUUCAUCCAUCGUACCUUCACUAGGGGAAUAACUCUAUUCCUUAAUACUUGUUCGUUUCGAUCGACAAUCUCAAUGGGUUGUUCCUCAUACGACAUGUCUUCAAUUAUCUGAAUCGGUUGAUAGUCUAGCACAUGUGAAGGGUCUGCAAUGUACUUUCUUAACACAGACACAUGAAAUACAUUGUGAAGCCUAGACAGACUUGGUGGUAAAGCUAUGCGAUAGGCCACCGGACAAAUUCUCUCUAAAAUCUCAAACGGUCCAAUAAAUCUAGGGCUAAGCUUCCCUUUCUUCCCGAACCGAAACACCCCUUUCCAUGGCGAUACUUUCAAGAAAACAAAAUCUCCUUUUUCAAAUUCCAACUCACGUCUACGACGAUCUGCAUAACUCUUCUAUCUGCUCUGAGCUGUUUGAAGAUGUUCUCUAAUCAACUUGAUUUUAUCAACAGUAAUCUGUACUAAUUCUGGACCCAAAAGUUUUCUUUCACCAACCUCAUCCCAGCAAAUUGGGGACCUACACUUUCUUCCAUAUAAUGCCUCAAAUGGUGCCAUGCCAAUACUCGAAUGGAAGCUAUUGUUAUAAGCAAAUUCGAUCAACGUUAGGUGCUCUUCCCAACCACUACUCAAGUCUAGUACACAAGCUCGAAGCAUAUCCUCAAGGGUUUGAGUAGUCCUUUCGGAUUGUCCAUCUGUCUGUGGAUGGAAAGUAGUGCUAAAUCUCAAUUUCGUCCCCAACUCUUUAUGUAAGCUAGCCCAAAAUCUUGAAGUGAAUAGUGGAUCCCUAUCAGACACUAUUAAGACUGGAACUCUAUGAAGCCUUACUAUCUAUUUAAUGAAUAACUUAGCUAGUUGCCCUACAUUGUCUGUACUCUUCUUUGCCACGAAAUGAGCCGAUUUCGUCAAUCGAUCGACAAUUACCCAAAUGCAAUCACAUCCCCUCCUAGAACGAGGUAAUCCAGAGACGAAAUCCAUUGUUAUGUGUUCCCAUUUCCACUGAGGAAUAGGAAGCGUUUGUAAAGUUCAUGCUGGUCUUUGAUGUUCGAUCUUAACUUGUUGGCAGACUAAACAUCGAGACACAAAAGCAGCAAUAUCUCUCUUCAUAUUCCUCCACCAAAAACUCUGCUUUAGAUCACGAUACAUCUUAGUACUACCAGGAUGCAUACUGUAAGAUGAUUCAUGCGCUUCUCUUAAGAUUUCUCCCUUCAACUCUUCGUCUGCUGGCACGCAUAGCCUUUGCCCCAACCAUAAUGCAUCCCCAUUAUCAAGUCUAAAUCCGGGCUUAUGUCCUUUGUUCACAUCUUCACGGAUUUUAUUGAGUUCUAUGUCGUUCUUUUGAAAAAAUUGAAGGGAAAUAGAUAAAGUUAAGGAUUUGAUUUUAUUUUAGGAGGGGAGAAAUUGUAACGCCACAAAAAAUUGUAACGCCACAAAUUUCCAUAAUAUUAAAUUAUGGAAAUUGGGCUUUCAUUGAUAAUUAUGGGUGGCCUAUAACCCUUAUUAAGAAAGGGAUACUAAAUUAUAAAUAGAGGUUAUUUAUGAGAUAGUUUUGAAAAAAGGUUAUUUUUUUCUUAUUAAAUAGGGUUUCUUAAGACUCCCUAUAAAUGCAUACUUUUUCCCCUUCCAUAACCCUAAGUCCACGACGUUUAUUCUUCUUCUCUACUGCUCUUUACACUCCUACCCAAAUCCUAGGAUUCAAACCUUUGUUUAGGAGAGAAUCAAAGCGACAGGUAAGUUAUUCUCCCUAUUCUCAACAGAUUUCUAAUCACUCUAUUUAGGGUUUAUCGAAAAUAUAGGUUUAAAUAUGUGUCUAGGAUUCCCAGUUUUAAUUUCAUAAUUUUCUGAUUAGUAUUUUAUUUUAUAAAAAUCACAGAACCCGUCAUGGUAAGGUCCUAACCAAUCCAUCCCCAAAAUCACAAAUCUAACACGUGCGGAGCACGUGAAGAAGGAGGUUACUAACAAAUCAUAAUCUUUACUCAUAAGUUUUAAACUGAAAUACCUCUAAUUCUUAUUUUUUUAAAAAUCCACAAAUUCACACGUCUAAUACUAAAUAAUCUCUCCCGAAGACAUAAAAAUAAUAACAAAAGUCUCAAACUCCAAAUUACACGUUCAUAAUAUAAAUAACUAAAUAGAAACACGAGUCUAUUCCUCCUCUUAUUCAAAUGGCAAACGGAAACGGCAAAUUACUACUUCAAAGCUAAGCGCACCUCUCAAAAGAGACUUAAUCUGCAAAAAGUAAUGACGAGGGACAAUUGUAACACCGCAAAUCUAACACAUGCGGAGCACGUGAAGAAGGAAGUUACUAACAAAUCAUAAUCUUUACUCAUAAGUUUCAAACUGAAAUACCUCCAAUUCUUAUUAAAAAAAAUCCACAAAUUCACACGUCUAAUACUAAUUUAUAAAAUGUGUGUAAAUUAGUAUUAAAUUGUAUGGAAGAAAUUCACAAUUCACAAUUCUUGUGUCCUUUGUUCACAUCUUCACGGAUUUUAUUGAGUUCUAUGUCGUUCUUUUGAAAAAAUUGAAAGGAAAUAGAUAAAGUUAAGAUUUUAUUUUAUUUUAGGAGGGGAGAAAUUGUAACGCCACAAAAAAUUGUAACGCCAUAAAUUUCCAUAAUAUUAAAUUAUUAUGAACAAGGGUUAUACUUAUAAUAAAAACAUUAAUCCUUUAAGUAGUAUAAAAACAUUUAUACUUAUAAUAAUAAUAUCAAAAUACUUAUACAUAUCCAGUAUACUAGGAAUGAAGUUACUUACCUCGACAAAUGAAUUUGAAUAAACACAUCUCUAAGCUUCUAAGAGCCUCAAUCACCUUCAAUACCUUAAACAAAUACAAGAUAUGACAAUUAAUAACUUAUUCUAAGAAUCUGAUUUUCUAAUUCAUACCUGUACAAGUCUGAUUCUCAGAAUUUUAACUCUUAAUCUAAAACUCAGAAUGAUAUAAUAUUCUAUGAAACUAUUCUGGACAUCCAUGAGUACCCCAUGUAAAAUUUGCAAGAGGAUUCGAUAUCAAAAGCAUUUUCAAAACUAUUUAUUUCUCAACAAAUUCGAAAUUGUUUUCACAUAAUCUAAACCAAACAGAACGGGUUUUGUGAUUUUUAUAAAAUAAAGUACUAAUCAGAAAAUUAUGAAAUUAAAACUGGGAAUAUCCCAGACACAUAUUUUAACCUACAUAUAAACUUUCAGAAUUUUCCGAGUUCAUUUGGUGGUACAAAUAAUCUUGUGAAUCCGAUCGCAAUGCUGGAAUCGCAGUUUUCCAAUGUAGUGGUUUCUAUUUCGAAAAUACAUAUAAAAUUGAAAACGAAGUCGAAUUUAAUGAAAUAAAAUUUUCUCAAGAAGCCCUACAUGUCUAGUUUCCAGAAAUAUAAAUGUUAUAAGAAAAAUCGUUCAGAAAAUAUAUGUUUAAAUUCAAGAUACUCAUGUUGUCCAGAAUUAUCCUGUGCUUAAUACGUUAAGGAUUGAUUAACUAAACUCAUAAUAAAAAAAAAACCCUAAACAACACCUAAAUACAUUCUAAAUCAUGCAUUAUGAUCUAUAACCAUCUAGAAUCAUGCCAAUAUAAACCCUAGAUAGAGUGAUUAGAAAUCUGUUGAGAAUAGGGAGAAUAACUUACCCGUCGCUUUGAUUCUCUCCUAAACAAAUGUUUGAAUCCUAGGAUUUGGGUAGGAGUGUAAAGAGCAGUAGAGAAAAAGAAUAAACGUCGUGGACUUAGGGUUAUGGAAGGGGAAAAAGUAUGCAUUUAUAAGGAGUCUUGAGAAACCCUAUUUAAUAAGAAAAAAAUAACCCUUUUUCAAAACUAUCUCAUAAAUAACCUCUAUUUAUAAUUUAGUAUCCCUUUCUUAAUAAGAGUUAUAGGCCACCCAUAAUUAUCAAUGAAAGCCCAAUUUCCAUAAUUUAAUAUUAUGGAAAUUUGUGGCGUUACAAUUUCUCCCCUCCUAACAAAAAUUUCGUCCUCGAAAUUAAAAGGUUACCUUACGCAUGGAAGAGUAUUAUUUGUUCACAUCUAGAAGCUCUAGUACAAUAGAUUGUGAUGUUUGCAAUAAGGAGGUAAGUAUAUAUAUAUAACAUGUUAAAUGCAAGGGAAAAUGACACCAAUACUCUCAAAUUUUAAAAAUAGAUACAUCAAUGAUCAAUCCUCUCAAAUUUGAUCCACAAUAGUUGACGCCGCGCAUGGUGCUUGUCCAUUCUCAUUUUGUGAAACUGAUCAUGCCAUCAUGCAAACUUUAAAAAAUUUAAAAUGUUGGAUAUUCCGAACAAAUGAAAGUACUUAACAGUGAGCUCUAUGUAUCCAUUCUGGAAUAUCAGAAAUCUAAUAGCACAUUUGGACAAGACUGGUGGGGUCUAAGUUUCAUUUUCCUAAAAUUAAUUUGUUUCGGUUCAAAUUUCAACAAUACUAAAAUAUUAUUACUUUUUCCAACAGUUAUAGCCAAGCAUGAAUUAUUGUGACCAUGAGCUUUGGAAUCUGCGUUUUUGCUACGACCAUUUUAGUGAUGGGACUCCAGUCUGCUGCGGAUGCGUUCGAGUCUUAAUAAGUUGACGACUUAAAUUUGGGUGCAUUUGAUUGAAGAUGUAUGUAUGUAUAUAAAAGACGCAUAUAUACUUUAAAAUUUUAAAAAAAGAAAAAAAAUGUUUCU